rnacentral:rRNA from 1 species
GUCUACAGCCACGCCACCCUGAACAAGCCAAAUUCUGUCUGAUCUCGGAAGCUAAGCAGGGUCGGGCCUGGUUAGGACUUGGAUAGAAGACCACCUAGGAAGACCAGGUGCUACAGAUG